CGAAGGAUGCAAGCGUUAUCCGGAUUUAUGGGUUUAAAGGGAGCGUAGGCGGUCUUAUAAGUCAGUGGUGAAAUCUCGUUGCUUAACAACGACCGUGCCAUUGAUACUGUAGGACUUGAGUACAGUUGCCGUUGGCGGAAUGUGUCAUGUAGCGGUGAAAUGCAUAGAUAUGACACAGAACACCGAUUGCGAAGGCAGCUGACGAAACUGUAACUGACGCUGAGGCUCGAAAGCGUGGGGAUCAAACAGGAUUAGAUACCCUGGUAGUCCACGCCCUAAACUAUGAUUACUCGCUGUCGGCGAUAUACAGUCGGUAGCUAAGCGAAAGCGUUAAGUAAUCCACCUGGGGAGUACGCCCGCAAGGGUG
rnacentral:rRNA from 1 species